rnacentral:lncRNA from 1 species
UUUUUUAUUUUUCAAUCAUUUUAUUUUAGAGCUAGUCCCACUAGUCACAUGAGCCCCACAUGUCAAAAAUUUCAAAAUAUCUCAAAUUAUAUUCACAAGUGGGGCAUAAAUUGGUCCCGCUGGUCAUGUUUCCAUUUCACAUCUUUUUAACAUACAUAAUCACUAUUUCAAAUAGGACGGGACAAAUAUAAUUCAUCAAAUAACACUACAUUAGUCUUUUACAAUCUGAUACAAUAUUACAAUUUACAGUCUACUACAGAACCAAAAAAACUCUUCGCUAAGUAGGGCUUCACUGAUUCGCACUUGGCUUCAUGGCUUCACACUCCAAAAAAAUUACGCCCAAAGCUCCUGUAAAAGAGUGAACAACUUCAAUAUUAGUGUACUUAGUGCUGAGGCCAGAACCAAACAACUUCGAUAUUAUAAUAGAAAGAAGUCUCGGGUUUAUCAAGCACAGCAAAAUAGCAGUGUGACUGAAAACAAAAGAGGUCUCAGGUUUAGACUGAAAAGGAAGAGCUAGAUAUGCAUGAUGUCCCAGGUUUAAACAAAAGAUCAAGAGCACAAUUUCAACAAGAGAUAUAUAGUCAGUCCAAUUGAACAAAGGCUGGACAGUAGCAUUAUGAGUAUUUAAGUGGAGAUGUAGCAGACAAUCAAAUGAAUAUAUUGUGCAGACCAUGAACAAAAUUAGGCAAUCAUUGAUGGAGAGCGUCUAAUGCUCCUAAUUAAAAAACAGAUAUGUUUAGCCAACCAAGAAGGAAACACUAACCAAACAGUGGCAAUUUGAGGUGGUGAGCUAGAUGAGGUACAAACUGAGAUGAUAUUCAAUCAUCCGGUAGCAAAACAAGCUUACUAGCUAGCUAGUACACUAGAAUGUGACCAUCCAACAUGCACACACGCAUCAUCCAGGAACAUAUAUGAACAUUUUCUGUAAGGGGGACAUCAAGACCUUGCUUUGGAAGGACUAAAGAGCACUUGAACGAGUUCUAGUCAUCAGGUGCUUCUUCACCAUUAGGUUCAUUUGUUGCUGCUGCUCAUCCUCCGACUCCAUCUACAUGGACAAGAGCAAGUUACUUGUUUGCAUGGCAUUCACUUAAUAAAACUGCAUGUAUAUUCAUCUACAUUACUUCUUCAGUAUAGUACAGUACAAAGGAUGGAUGGGUUUGAGUUCAAAUGUUUGCUUGCACAUGUACUACUCAUAUACUUAGGCACAUGGAAAAUCAACUACAAGCAGGAACACGAUGAGCCAGAACAAGCUAGUAAGACACUAGCAGUAGAGCAACCAUAAUAUGAAGCAAACGGAGGAAUCACAAGGUAAUUCUACUAAUUUCAUUGAAACAAUAGUGACAAUUUCAGGCAGUGUGCUAGAUGAGGUACAAACUGAGAUGCCAUUCAGUGAGAUAUAGUAAGAAUGAUUGUGGCAGUAGUAGAUAUAGUAAGAAUGCAAAAGUACAUUCAGUGAGAAUUGUAUUAUUCUAAGCUACCAGCAGAGAAGCAGAAAAUAGACGAACAGCCUGGCACUAACAUAUAUAGCGCUGAGGCACUGGCUGCAGUACAAAAAGAACUCUAAAUUCAUAUCUACUGGACCAAUUCAGAACUAUACAAGAGCCAGGUACAGAAGCAAGCACGGUAUAGAAGCAAGCAAAUAGUUUCAUCAGUGCAUAGCUGUAGCAGAUCACCAGGUAUGGUGACCGUAAUUUACUGUUGUUUUUGCCUAGCACUAGUAGAAAAAGGGGCUAUGGUCCAGGCCGCCUCAGCCCAUUAGUCCCGGUUCAGUCUUGAACCGGGACCAAUGUGGGCAUUGGUCCCGGUUCGUGAGCCCAGGGGGCCGACCGGGCCACGUGGGCCAUUGGUCCCGGUUUGUAUGGACCUUUUGGUCCCGGUUGGUGGGCUGAACCGGGACCAAAGGGCCUCCCUCCUGGUCCACCACCAUUGGUCCCGGUUGGUGGCAUGAACCGGGACCAAAGGCUCCCCUUUAGUCCCGGUUCAUGCCACAAACCGGGACCAAUGAAUUGCCUAUAUAUACCCCCUCGCGCAAGGGCAGAGCACAGUGCUCUAUUUUUUCUGGCCGAGGGGGAGAGGCCUUUGUGGUGCUCUAGCUCACCUCCUAUGCACAUGAGGUGUUCGAUGGAAUGCCCGAGCCACACUACUUAAGCUUUCUCCUCUCGAAGCUCGACCUCCAAGCUCCAUUUUCCUCGAGAUUUGUCUAGAUUUAGCGGUCCAUCACGCCCCGUCCCCGUCUUCACUGCCGUCGAUCACCCGCGUCGAUCUCAUCACCGACACCACCGUGGUGAGCCUCUUGUUCUUAUCUUCUUUCUGAAAGGAAAAAUAUUCUUACUUGUAUGUUUAGAUAGAUACUUGUAUCAUUUUCUUACAUUUAUUAUUGCAUCUUAUAUAGUGCGAUGGUUUUGGUAUCCGCCCCCGUCGGCCCUUGUCCUGUCUAUGAUUCGGAUGUGGUAUGUAUAUUAUCUUUAUAACUAUUGGUUCAUUUAUUGUUUAUGAAAAUUAUGCCGACCAACGUGACAUAGAUUUUAUUUAUCUAGGAUGUAUGUGAAUCGGAAAUGCCAAUCGACCCUAUUGUCGAGAGGUUAAAUUUAGUUGAAGAAGAAAACAAUUUUUUGAAGGAAAAAAUAAAAAAAAUUGAGGAGGAGAAGAUGAUAUUGGAGUUGCAUGUUGCGGAUGUCGUCGAUGAUCACAAGAUCAAGAUGGAUGCAAUGCGCUUGAAGAUUAGAAAGAUUAGAAAAUAUGCCAUUCAUACCGAGGCUUGGUAUCAUUAUGCCGUUGGAUCAAUUGUUACCUUGGUUGCGAUUAUGAUCGCAUUUGUUUUCGCAUUGAAAUGUUUUACAUAGUUUCAAUGUAUGGUUUAAUUAAUUAGAUGCUCUGGAGAGCUAUAUGUUGUUAGAUGAGAACUAUGUAUGUACUUUGGUUUUAAUGUGAUGAUGAACUUCUAUUAAUUUGGACACUUAAUUAUAUAUAAUGCACGCAGAUGAACCGGCAAUGGAUGUACGGUGACAGACACACCCGCGAGUACAUUAAGGGCGUGCAUGAGUUUCUCGAUGCGGCUGAGGCAAACAAGCAGAAUGGUUUUAUGUGUUGUCCAUGCACUGAAUGUGGGAAUACGAGGUCUUACUCUAACCGGAAAAUCCUUCACUCCCACCUACUUUACAAGGGUUUCAUGCCACACUAUAAUGUUUGGACGAGGCACGGAGAAAUAGGGGUUAUGAUGGAAGACGACGAAGAAGAAGAGUACGAUGAUACUAUGUGCCCCCUGAAUACGGUGAUGCUGCAACGGGGGGAGCUGGUGAAGAUCAAGAGGAACCAGACGAUGUGCCCAAUGAUGCUGCCACGGGUGAAGCUGCUGAAGAUCAAGAGGAACCAGACGAUGUGCCCGAUGAUGAUGAUCUCCGCCGGGUCAUUGUCGAUGCAAGGAUGCAAUGCAUUAGUCAAAAGGAGAAGCUGAAGUUCGAUCGCAUGUUAGAGGAUCACAAAAAAGGGUUAUACCCCAAUUGCGAAGAUGGCAACACAAAGCUCGGUACCGUACUGGAAUUGCUGCAGUGGAAGGCAGAGAAUGCUGUGGCUGACAAAGGAUUUGAGAAGCUACUGAAAAUAUUGAAGAAGAAGCUUCCAAAGGAUAACGAAUUGCCCGACAGUACAUACGCAGCAAAGAAGGUCGUAUGCCCUCUAGGAUUGGAGGUGGAGAAGAUACAUGCAUGCCCUAAUGACUGCAUCCUCUACCGCAGUGCAUACAAGGAUCUAAACGCAUGCCCGGUAUGCGGUGCGCUGCGGUAUAAGAUCAGACGAGAUGACCCCGGUGAUGUUGACGGCGAGCCCCUCAGGAAGAGGGUCCCUGCAAAGGUGAUGUGGUAUGCUCCUAUAAUACCACGGUUGAAACGUCUGUUCAGAAACGAAGAGCAUGCCAAGUUGAUGCGAUGGCACAGUGAGAACCGAAAGAAAGAUGGGAAGUUGAGAGCACCCGCUGACGGGUCGCAGUGGAGAAAAAUCAAGAGAAAGUACUGGGAUGAGUUUGCAAAGGACCCAAGGAAUGUAUGGUUUGCUUUAAGCGCGGAUGGCAUUAAUCCUUUCGGGGAGCAGAGCAGUAAUCACAUCACCUGGCCCGUGACUCUAUGUAUGUAUAACCUUCCUCCUUGGAUGUGCAUGAAGCGGAAGUUCAUUAUGAUGCCAGUUCUCAUCCAAGGCCCUAAGCAACCCGGCAACGAAAUUGAUGUGUACCUAAGGCCAUUAGUUGAAGAACUUUUAUAGCUGUGGAAUGGAGACGGUGUACGUACGUGGGAUGAGCACAGACAGGAGGAAUUUAACCUUAAGGCGUUGCUGUUCGUGACCAUCAACGAUUGGCCCGCUCUCAGUAACCUUUUAGGACAGACAAACAAAGGAUACCACGCAUGCACGCACUGUUUAGAUGACACUGAAAGUAUAUACCUGGACAAAUGCAGGAAGAAUGUGUACCUGGGCCAUCGUCGAUUUCUUCCGACCAACCAUCAAUGUCGAAAGAAAGGCAAGCAUUUCAAAGGCGAGGCAGAUCACCGGAAGAAGCCCGCCAUGCGCACCGGUGAUCACGUGCUUGCUAUGGUCAAUGAUUUACCCUACGUCAUCUUUGGAAAGGGUCCCGGUGGACUAGCUGUUCCGAAUGACGCUGAGGGACACGCACCCAUGUGGAAGAAGAAAUCUAUAUUUUGGGACCUACCCUACUGGAAAGACCUAGAGGUCCGCUCCUCAAUCAACGUGAUGCACGUGACGAAGAACCUUUGCAUGAACCUGCUAGGCUUCUUGGGCGUGUAUGGGAAGACAAAAGAUACGCCGGAGGCACGGGAGGACCUGCAACGUUUGCACGAAAAAGACGACAUGCCUCUGAAGCAGUAUAAAGGUCCUGCCAGCUACGCUCUUACGAAAGAAGAGAAAGAAAUCUUCUUUGAAUGCCUGCUUAGUAUGAAGGUCACGACUGGCUUCUCAUCGAAUAUAAAGGGAAUAAUAAAUAUGCCAGAGAAAAAGUUUCAGAACCUAAAGUCUCAUGACUGCCACGUGAUUAUGACGCAACUGCUUCCGGUUGCAUUGAGGGGGCUUUUACCGGAAAACGUCCGAUUAGCCAUUGUGAAGCUAUGUGCAUUCCUCAAUGCAAUCUCUCAGAAGGUGAUCGAUCCAGAAAUGGUACCAAGGCUAAGGAGUGAUGUGGCGCAAUGUCUUGUCAGUUUCGAGCUGGUGUUCCCACCAUCCUUCUUCAAUAUCAUGACGCACGUCCUAGUUCAUCUAGUCGACGAGAUUGUCAUCCUGGGGCCCGUAUUUCUACACAAUAUGUUCCCCUUUGAGAGGUUCAUGGGAGUCCUAAAGAAAUAUGUCCGUAACCGCGCUAGGCCAGAAGGAAGCAUCUCCAUGGGCCAUCAAACAGAAGAUGUUAUCGGGUUUUCUGUUGACUUCAUUCCUGGCCUUAACAAGAUAGGUCUCCCUAAAUCGCGGUAUGAGGGGAGACUGACUGGAAAAGGCACUCUUGGAAGAGACUCAAUAAUAUGCAGGGACGGAUAUUCUUGGUCUCAAGCACACUACACAGUUCUACAGAACUCUACCUUGGUGACCACGUAUGUCGAUGAACACAAGAACAGUCUGCGCUCCAAACACCCGGAGCAAUGCGACGACUGGAUUACAUGUGAACACAUCAGGACUUUUAGUAGUUGGUUGGAAACACGUCUCAGAGGUGACAACACUGUUUGUGAUGAGUUGUAUUUGUUGUCCAGGGGACCAUCUUUGACUGUAUUGACUUACAAAGGAUACGAGAUAAAUGGGAAUACAUUUUACGCGAUCGCCCAAGAUCAAAAGAGCACCAACCAAUACAGCGGUGUCCACUUUGAUGCAGCAACCGAGAGUGGAAAGGACACAUAUUAUGGUUACAUAGUGGACAUAUGGGAACUUGACUACGGACCUGAUUUUAAGGUCCCUUUGUUUAAGUGCAAAUGGGUCAUUCUGUUUGGCGGCGGCGUACAGGUAGACCCACAGUACGGAAUGACUACCCAAGGACAUCUCUAGAAGAAAUCAUCUUUCAAUCGACUUGGAGGUGUUCCACUCGACAGACUCGAAGACACUCGACCAAGAAGCAAUCACUCGACCAAGAUCCAACCACUCGACGGCCAGGAGACCUAAAGUCACUCCGCACGCUAAUGGUCGGUCAUUAAGUAGCUUUUAUGGUCAUCAUAGCACUUUAUUAGGGGCGUUACCAGUAACGCCCGACCUUAAUGUACUUAAAACCCUACAUAACGGAGGGCCGGAGGGGUCUGGCGAACUCUAUAUAAGCCACCCCCCUCCUCAGUGUAAAGGGUUCGCACCCCUGUAAUUCAUACACACAUAAUCCAGUCGACCGCCUCCGGGCUCCGAGACGUAGGGCUAUUACUUCCUCUGAGAAGGUCCUAAACUCGUAAACCUCAUGUGCUUACAACUACUCCAUAGCUAAGAUCUUGCCUCUCCAUACCUACCCCCUACAUUACUGUCAGACUUAGAACCACGACACCAGGCGUAUACGACGAGUGGUCGGAAUGUCAGGCCCAUGUGUACAGGUUUCCGGUUUUCGAGCGACAGCCAGUAGUUAGUUUAGGUUCACGCUAACGCGAGAGAGGGAUACGAACUCAUGUACUGCAUAGUUCCGUUCUCACUCAAAGUGAUAGAUCUGCUCUUCUCGCAUAUAUCAUUGUUUAGAUGGAUGGGGAUGUAGUUGCAAGUAAUCGAGACUUGUAUCGCUAUUUUCGAGAUGAUGACGAGAGACCACUUUGUGUUGGAUGAUGAUUAUGAUGAUGACAUGAUUUGAUGAGACUAUUUGUAUGUAUAUGCUAUGAUUACAUUUGUAUGUGUAUGAUAUGCUAAAGAUUAUUGUAUAAAGCCUAUUCAAAUACAAAACAAAUAUGCAGAAAAAACAGAAACUAAUAAAACUAGCAGUAGCGAGGAGAACAAAGUUAGCAGUAGCGCUCCCUUACCAGUAGCGCUCCCUUACCAGUAGCGCUUCCUGCUAAAAAGCGCUACAGAUAUUAGCAGCAGUGCUCUGAAAUAAAGUUUGCUACUACUAGCCAUGUAUUGCAGUUGCGUGGGACGACAGGCGCUACUGCUACAUGUUAGCUGUAGCGCCUUAUUAGUAGCGCGUCGUCCUGCGCUACUUAUAGGGAAAAUACCCGCGCUACUGCUAGGGUUUUCCCUAGUAGUGUGAUCCCAAGAAAAGAUUGUCUCUUGCUUUUUUGUGUUACUAGGUACAUGACCGAGCAUUGCGACGGGGAGGAAAUAUUUUUAAACACAACAAAAGAACCAUAUAGAACAAAUCUUGAUGCAAAGCAAAUAGGAAAAAUAAGAUUGUGUUUUGGUUAUAAAGUAUUGAAUUUUAAGUUAUUUAUUAAAUUGAUAAAAUAGGUACGUGCCUAUGAUUAACACGAUUUAUUGGGUUGUCGAAUAUAAGUGAUUGAGUGAUAUUUAUUUUCUUCUCGGCCAAAAAUUUAUCGCUAUUAUUGGGUUAACAAAAAAUUAUGGACCAUGCAUUUAUUGUUGCACCAUACUUUUAUCUAAUUUAUUGGGUUACCAAAGAUUGGUUGAUGAAAACUAGAGAGAGUGAAAAAAUAAGAAAAUCGGAGGAGGGUGGAAGGUUGGAUGAACGGAUGGUAGGGAGAAAACUUAACGAAAGAGGGAACCUUAGAUUCUUUUGAAGCAGUAGAGAUAGAUAUCAGAGGACCAUAUGAAACAAAACUUGAUGAAAAUAGGUUAUGUUUUGGUUAUAAAGCAUAGAUUUUUAUUUAUUUCUUAAAUUGAUAAAAUAGGUAUGGAUUAAUUUGUUUUAUUGGUUCCCAAAUAAAAGAGAUUGAUUGAUAUUUAUUUGCUUCUGGGCCAUGAAUUUAUUACUAUUUAUUGCAUUACCAAAGAAACAUUCUCCUUAUGCACUGUGAAUUAUUGCUAUACCAUUAAUUGAUCUGGUUUAUUGGGUUACUGUAGCGACCAUACCUCAAACAGUCUGAUCUCUGUGCUCCGGUGUCAUCCCUGGAUCAGUAAUGCUGACACCACACAGUACUCGGAGGAUUUAUAGCAGAGUAGCAAUCACACACUUAUUACAUCGAGUGUCUCAAAAGAGAAAUUAUUACAAUGAAUAUGGCUUAAGGCCAUCUAAUAACGAUAACAUCGGAAGGCUUGGAAGAUAAGUGAGUCCAUCAACUCCAAUGGCAUCACUGAGUAUAGAACCACGACCUAAAAACUCCUUAAUCAUCGUCUGAAAAGUCUGCAACAUUAACGUUGCAGCCCGAAAACGGAUCAGCACAUGGAAUAUGCUGGUAAGGUAACACAUAGAGAGUAAUGGAAUGAAACAGCUAUUCUAUAUGCAUAUUUGGCUAGUGGAAAGCUCUAUGGUUACAGUUUUUUUGCGUAAAGCCAAUUUUUCCCUACUUCAAAGGAAUAAAUUUCAUUUAACUAUCAUGGUGGUUGUUAAACAUUGAGAAUGGUUGACAGCAUUCUCAAUCCCAAUUAAAUAACAUCAUUAAACCCAACAAAAUUUAUUUAAAGUAACAUGUUGAGAUUCACAUGAUAAUCCAGGUACUAGAUACUCAAGAUGUCCAUAACCGCGGACACGGCUAACCAUGAUUAGUUUGUUACACUCUGGAGAGGUUUGCGCACUUUUCCCCAGAAGACUCGAUCACCUCCGUUGGAUUUCUCGCACUACAUGGUGUUUGAGAAACGGAUGACCGAGACACAAUCUUUCAGAAGCACUAGCACCUUACGAUGGAUAGACCGGUACACCUACUUUCCUCUACAUCUGCUAGUCUACCCUGUAAGAGUUCGCACGACUUACUCAACUAUGCCAGAGCCCAUAAUGGCUUGUGGCUGCACAUGGAAGUUUCUAGUAUGAAUAAUCUCAUGAUCCCUUUGAGCCUGGGUGGCGGUCCAAAAGAAAAACAGGCAAGUCCUGGAAUACCCAGGUGCCUCAAUCCACCCAGAUGUGUGUUUAAGUUGCCACCUUAGAUAAAUCCUUAAUUAUCAAUCUCACAUCUGUCAUGGAUAUCACUCACCCAAUCCACGUCUACUAGCAUAGCAUGGCAUAAUAAGCAAACGCAGAAGUAACUCCCAGAGGUUUGAGAAUAAACAGGUAAUAGGUACUACCUCAUCUACUUCCCAUCCCACAGUUUAAUUAGAUCCAAAUCAUGCAAUGUGUGAGGAUUGAUCUAAUGCAAGAAAAACUGGGUUGUAGAAAAGGUAUGAUCAAAGUGUUACUUGCCUUGCUGAUGAUCCGCGAAACCUAACGAUUCGAAGUAACAGGCGGCGCACUCCGGGUACUCUAUCGCAGACAAACAAACAAGUAUACAAUAAGUACUCAUCUAAUGCACAGGUAAAACUCAAAUAAGAGAUUUAACCAGAAGGUUCAACUUAAGAACUCCGGUUGGCAAAAGAAAUCAAUCAAACGAAGCAAAGAAAGUCAAACGGCGAAAGAAAACAACUUCGUUCUAGUAAUCUGAAUCUAAGUCAAAUUUUACACUAGCAAAAACUUGUUUGAGUUGAUUAUUCUGAUAGAGGGUUUCGAGAUGAAACUCCAGCCGCUUGAAUCGCCUGAUUCCGAUAAAUGAGCGAAAAGAUAAACUAAAACGAAAAUCAGAUCAGGGAUCGCGAUCAGAAAAAUCAUGGAUUUAAUCCGACGAAAAAGGAAAACGACGAAUGAUUUUUUUAAACGGCACGGAAAACGAGGCGGCGGCGAACCUCGGGCGGCGCGCGGCUCCGGCGGGGCGGCGGCUGCUGGGCUGGGGCGCUAGGGUUUGGGGGCUGGGGCGGCUGGGCUCUCGAGCCCCGGGGCGGCGCCUUAUAAAGGCCUAGGCCAGGCGGAGUCCUGGCCGAGUACGGCCCAAAGUCGGUUACCCUUUUUUUACGCUCGGAAGAAAAAUAAAAAGAAAUACUAAACGGACUCCAAAAAUCCCGAAAUAAAUUUUACCGGGCCUCUAAAAUCAAGCCCGACAAAGUGAACAUUUAUUUGGGCCCUAAAUGCAAUUUUGAAAAACACGCAUUUUUCCUUAAUUCAAAUAAAAAUAUCGAAAAAACUCCGAAAUAAAUCUUAUUUGAUUUUUUUAUUAGACCUUCAAUAUUUCUAUAUUUUGGGAAAGUCAUUUUAUUCCCUCUCACGUAUUUUUGUAAUAGAAAUACUUGAUGAUAAAAUAAAUAAAAUCAAAUGAUCCUAUUCUCAAAAUUUGAGAAAAUUCAAAUGUGAGAAUAACGAAAUCCCCAACUCUCUCCGUGGGUCCUUGAGUUGCUUAGAAUUUUCUAGGAUCAAAACCCAAAAGCACAUAAAAUAUGAUAUGCAUGAUGAUCUAAUGUAUAACAUUCCAAAUUGGAAAUUUGGGAUGUUACAAACCUACCCCCCUUAAAAUGAAUCCCGCCCUCGAGGUUCGGGUUGGCUAGAAAAUAGGUGAGGGUGGUCUUUGAGCAAAUCUUCCUCUCGUUCCCAGGUGGCUUCAUCCUCCGUGUGGUGACUCCACUGAACCUUGCAAAACUUGAUAACUUUGCUGCGGGUAACUCGGCUGGCAAACUCGAGAAUCUUAACUGGUUUCUCCUCGUAGGUCAAAUCAUUAUCCAACUGAAUAGUUUCCAAAGGCACUAUAUCUCUUAACGGUACGUCAGCCAUCUCCGCGUGACACUUCUUUAACUGAGAAACGUGGAACACAUCAUGAACUCCUGACAAUUCUUCGGGCAAUUCCAACUUGUAGGCCACUUCUCCCAUACACUCCAAAAUUUGAUAUGGUCCUACAAAUCGUGGCGCUAACUUCCCUUUAACUCCAAAAUGCUUUGUUCCCCAAAGUGGAGAUACUCGAAGAUAAGCUCUGUCUCCAACUUCGUAAACUGUCUCCUUGCGUUUAGAAUCUACAUAACUCUUUUGUCUGGACUGGGCUACCUUGAGCCUAUCGCGAAUCAACUUCACUUUCUGUUCAGACUCCUUAAUCAAGUCAGGUCCAAACAACUGACGGUCUCCAACUUCGUCCCAUGACAAUGGUGUCCUGCACCUCCUUCCGUACAAAGCUUCGAAAGGGGCCAUCUUCAAACUGGUUUGGUAACUGUUGUUGUAAGAGAACUCUGCAUAUGGCAAAUUAUCAUCCCAACUUGAUCCAUAAUCUAGCGCACAAGCUCCCAGCAUAUCUUCCAAAAUCUGAUUGAUUCUCUUGGUCUAUCCAUCUGUCUGCGGAUGAAAAGCUGUACUGAAUUCUAGCCUGGUUCCCAAAGUUUCGUGCAACUGCUUCCAGAACUUUGAGGUAAACUGGGUUCCUCUAUCCGAUACGAUACUCCUCGGAACUCCAUGCAGACAUACUAUUCUGGUCAUGUAUAUUUUUGCCAACUUAGCACUGGUAUAAGUGGUCUUUACUGGGAUGAAAUGAGCUACUUUCGUCAAUCGAUCGACUACAACCCAAAUCGAGUCAUAGCCUGAACGAGUCCUGGGCAAUCCCGUGAUAAAAUCCAUGCCUAUCUUAUCCCACUUCCAUUCGGGUAUCGGCAAUGGUUGCAACAAUCCUGCUGGCUUCUGAUGCUCUGCCUUUACUCUCUGGCAUACAUCACAAACUGCUACAUACUGUGCUAUGUCUUUCUUCAUUCCGGUCCACCAGAAAAUAUCCUUCAAAUCCAGAUACAUCUUGGUAUUCCCUGAGUAAAUCGAAUAGGGUGAAUCAUGUGCCUCUUGCAGAAUUAACUUCCUGAUCUCCGGGUCAUUGGGCACAUAGACACGGUCUUCAAACCAUAGGGUAUCGUGCUCAUCCUCGCGAAAUCCUUUAGCCUUUCCUUCUUUCAUUUUCUCCUUUAUAGAAGCAAUCUCCUUGUCAGUCUUCUGAGCUUCCCUGAUUCUAUCCAUCAAAGUUGACUGAAUUUCCAACGCUGCUACAUAGCCUCUCGGAACUAUUUCCAAACAUAGUUCACGAAGGUUUUCUGCUAACUCCUUGGGUAUUUCUCCCGUCAUUAACGUAUUGACAUGGCUCUUACGGCUUAAUGCGUCAGCUACUACAUUAGCCUUUCCAGGGUGAUAAUGCAAUUUCAUAUCAUAAUCCUUGAUGAGCUCCAACCAUCUCCUUUGUCUGAGAUUCAACUCCUUCUGUGUGAAAAUGUACUUCAAACUCUUAUGAUCCGUGUACACCUCACAAUGAUUUCCAAUGAGGAAAUGUCUCCAUGUCUUCAAAGCAUGCACUACGGCUGCUAACUCCAAAUCAUGCGUAGCGUAAUUCAUCUCAUGGGGCUUCAGUUGUCUUGAGGCAUAUGAAACGACUCUCCCUUCCUGCAUAAGCACUGCUCCAAGUCCUCGACGUGUAGCGUCGCAAUACACCUCAUAAUCCUUGGUCUGGUCUGGAAAAAUCAACACUGGUGAGGUAACCAAGCGUCUCUUCAACUCCUGGAAACUAGCCUCACACUGCUCAGUCCAUAUGAAUUUGGUAUCUUUCUUCAACUACUCUCUCAUAGGCUUCACAAUCUUUGAGAAAUUCUCAAUAAACUUCCGGUAGUAUCCUGCGAGUCCAAGAAAACUCCGGAUCUCUCCAACUAUUGUUGGGGCUUCCCACUUGGUCACGGUUUCAACUUUAGUGGGAUCUACUCCUAUACCUUCUCCAGAUAUAACAUGUCCGAGGAAUCCAACUUCCUUCAACCAAAACUCACAUUUGCUGAACUUGGCAUAUAAUUGAUGUUCUCUGAGCUUUCCAAGUACCAAACGCAAAUGCUCCUUAUGCUCCUCUUCAUUCUUCGAAUAAACCAGGAUCAUCUAUGAACACUACGAUGAACUUAUCCAAAAACUCCAUAAACACUUUGUUCAUCAUGUUCAUAAAAUAGGCAGGCGCGUUAGUCAGACCAAAUGACAUAACGAUAUACUCAUACAGCCCAUACCUGGUGGUAAAAGCUGUCUUCGGAAUAUCAUGUUCUCGAAUCUUCAACUGCUGGUACCCUGAUCGCAAAUCGAUCUUGGAAAAUACCUUUGCACCUUGCAAUCGAUCAAACAGAUCGUUGAUCAUUGGUAGUGGGUACUUGUUCUUGAUCGUUACUUCAUUCAAUCCUCGAUAAUCAACAACCAUCCUUAACGAUCCAUCCUUCUUCUCCACUAGUAGUACUGGUGAUCCCCAAGGUGAAGAACUUGGGCGAAUAUAUCCCUUAUCCAGUAAUUCCUUAAUCUGUUUCUUGAUUUCCACCAAAUCCUUUGCUAGCAUCCUAUAUGGUCUCUUUGAUAUUGGCCCAGUGCCUGGCAAUAGCUCAAUCAAAAACUCAAUAUCUCUAUCCGGUGGCAUGCCUGGCAACUCCUCUGGAAAUACAUCAGGAAAAUCCCUUACCACUGAUACUUCCUCCUGCACAACUCCUGUUAGGCAAUUUAUUUGGGUUCUUUUUGGCAUAUGCCGGGAUACAUACUUGAUCCUUCUACCUUCUGGUGUGGUAAGCAAAAUUGACUUACUAGCACAAUCGAUGUUUCCUCCAUACAUCGACAGCCAAUCCAUACCAAGAAUCACAUCCAGACCUUGAGAUUCCAGAAUAAUUAAAUCUGUUGGGAAAACAUGCCGUCCUAUACUUAAUGGCACUUGAAAGCAUCCUUGACUGGCCAUGUACUCUGCUCCUGGUGAGCUUACUAGCAUAGGUGUUUUAAGAACCCUAGUGGGUAGGCUAUAUUUUCCACAAAUCCCCUUGAUAUGUAUGAAUGCGAGGCACCAGUAUCAAAAAGAACGAGUGCAGUAAAUGACUUAACCAAAAACAUACCUAUUACUGCAUCGAGCUGAGUUUCAACUUCCUCCACAUUAACGUGGUUCACUUGUCCCUUGUUGAAAGGGUUUGGCUUCUUUCCAGAGCUUCCAUUGCCGUUUUGGCCUUCAGGACAUUCAUUGGCAUAAUGUCCGGUCUUGGAAUACUUGAAAUAGGUGACUUGGCUCAGGUCCUUCUUGGCUGGGGUUGAUGGGUUGUUGCGGUUCUGGCCAUUGCUUCCUCCAUUCCCAUUACCAUUCUUGGUGCCAUUGUGGUUGUGCGAGCUACCUACUCCAUGGGUAUGCUGAAAAUGUCCUCCCGGUCUAGGGGUAAAACGUGGCUUUUGCUGAGCUCCUGAAUUAUACUUCCCUUGUCCAUACUUCCUCUUGCGGUUCUCAAUUUGCUGCUGCUUCCCUUCAAUCAUAAGAGCACGAUCUACCAACUCCUGGUAGUUGUUGAAGGUGGCUACCAUCAACUGCAUACUCAACUCAUCAUUCAGUCCUUCCAGGAACUUCUCCUGCUUAGCUGCAUCCGUAGCAACGUCAUGUGAGGCAUAACGUGCUAGCUUACUAAACUCCUCCACAUACUGGCCAACUAUCCGUCCUCCUUGGCGCCAGUUACGAAACUCACACUUCUUCAUAGCCAUUGCUCCUGCUGAAACAUGGGCAGUAUGGAAAGCCCGCUGAAACUGGUCCCAUGUGACAGUAUCGACUGGGAAGGUGGCUGUGAAAUUCUCCCACCAUGAUGCGGCGGGUCCUUCUAACUGAUGUGCGGCAAACUUCACCUUCUCCGGAUCCGUGCAUCCUGCUGUGGUCAACUCCCUAGCAGUCUUGCGGAGCCCAUCAUCUGCUACUAUCGGCUCGGUGCUACUGGAAAACACCGGCGGAUUCAGCCUAAGAAAACGGGCUAAGUGGUCAACAGGUGGUGGUGGUGGUAGUGGGUUGUUGUUGUUGUUGUUCCCCUGAUUCUGAUUUUGGACUAGCAACUGCAUCAAUGUGUUCUGCUGCUGGAUCAACUGGGUGAGCUCCGGUGGAAAGGAAAAUCCGGGGUCACGUCUCGGAGGCAUCUGAGGGUUUAGAAAAGAUGAGAUAUAAGAAUAGAGGGGGUCUAAAGAAGAAACACUACCCAUAUGCACAUGAGGCAAAAGCAACCAAUUCACUUCAUUCAAACAAACAAAGGCAUACAAUCGAUCUAACUAUCGCAAAGUGCUCGGACUACUAUAUUUACAUGGUGGACUACUACUACUGAUGAGGUGGUCUACUAGAAAUAUUCUACGGUUGUAGACUCCAUGAUAUCUGCUCCUACUUCAUCAACAUAGUCAUCAUCGCUACUAUCUGCUUCCGAGUCGGUGCCGUCGAUGAUGAUGUAGUCUUCCAGGCUAAUCUCCUUGGGUUCUUCGUCUUCAUCUACUGGUGUCGGGCCUCCCAUAAAUACUGCUAGCUUCAUAGUUAGGUCGGCAUUCUUAUCCACCAAUACUUCUAUUUCUUCUUCAUAACCUUCAGGUGUAGCCUUGAGUUCUUCCUCCAGUUCAUUGAUUCUAGUCUUAGCCUUCUUCAGAUCUAUCAUGUCGGCACACAUCUGAUUCUCCUGUCGUCGAAUGUGCUGGUUGAACUCCUAGAUAAAAGCUGCAAUUGAUCUAUCCUUCCUGGUGCUAAUCAUCUCCCAAUGUUCAUCUCGGCGCCCACAAAUCUGGUAGAUAGUAUCCUUGAGAUCCUUGCGGAAGACUUCUCCAAUGCGUCCCAUGGCGAUGUGAGCUGCCAUACUCUUUCCUAGACUCCAAGUUGGUGCGUCAAAAUAAAACUCUAUGGGUUUAGUGACUGGCAUGAACGUCCUUCCUGGAACUUGAACUUGAAUCAUGCAGCGCUCUUCUUCAGGUAAAGUGGCAUUGUAGGUUCCCGUGAAGCUUGGUACUCAUAUGUUCAGGUAUCUAGUGACUUCCUUCAAGUGGCGUCCAAAGGGUGUAUCUUCGUCCGGUUGGGUGAACUUGUUCCUUGCAUCCGCCAUCCUAAAGAGUAGAAAAGAUGAGAAGUCAGAAGAGAAGAGAGUGAGUAGUGAUCUAGGUCUUUAGCUUAGGGUCGUGUCCUACAGUCACCGUGUGCUCUGAUACCAUCUCUGUAGCGACCAGACCUCAAACAGUCUGAUCUCUGUGCUCCGGUGUCAUCCCUGGAUCAGUAAUGCUGACACCACACAAUACUCGGAGGAUUUAUAGCAGAGUAGCAAUCACACACUUAUUACAUUGAGUGUCUCAAAAGAGAAAUUAUUACAAUGAAUAUGGCUUAAGGCCAUCUAAUAACGAUAACAUCGGAAGGCUUGGAAGAUAAGUGAGUCCAUCAACUCCAACAGCAUCACUGAGUAUAGAACCACGACCUAAAACUCCUUAAUCGUCGUCUGAAAAGUGUGCAACAUUAACGUUGCAGCCCGAAAACGGGUCAUCACAUGGAAUAUGCUGGCAAGGUAACACAUAGAGAGUAAUGGAAUGAAACAGCUAUUCUAUAUGCAUAUUUGGCUGGUGGAAAGCUCUAUGGUUACAGUCUUUUUUUUGCGUAAAGCCAAUUUUUCCCUACUUCAAAGCAAUAAAUUUCAUUUAACUAUCAGGGUGGUUGUUAAACAUUGAGAAUGGUUGACAGCAUUCUCAAUCCCAAUUAAAUAACAUCAUUAAACCCAACAAAAUUUAUUUAAAGUAACAUGUUGAGAUUCACAUGAUAAUCCAGGUACUAGAUACUCAAGAUGUCCAUAACCGGGGACACGGCUAACCAUGAUUUGUUUGUUACACUCUGCAGAGGUUUGCGCACUUUUCCCCACAAGACUCGAUCGCCUCCGUUGGAUUUCUCGCACUACAUGGUGUUUGAGAAACGGAUGACCGAGACACAGUCUUUCAGAAGCACUAGCACCUUACGAUGGAUAGACCGGUACACCUACUUUCCCCUACAUCUGCUAGUCUACCCUGUAAGAGUUCGCACGACUUACUCAACUAUGCCAGAGCCCAUAAUGGCUUGUGGCUACACACGGAAGUUUCUAGUAUGAAUAAUCUCAUGAUCCCUUUGAGCUUGGGUGGCGGUCCAAAAGAAAAACAGGCAAGUCCUGGAAUACCCAGGUGCCUCAGUCCACCCAGAUGUGUGUUUAAGUUGCCACCUUAGAUAAACCCUUAAUUAUCAAUCUCACAUCUGUCAUGGACAUCACUCACCUAAUCCACGUCUACUAGCAUAGCAUGGCAUAAUAAGCAAACGCAGAAGUAACUCCCAAAGGUUUGACAAUAAACAGGUAAUAGGUACUACCUCAUCUACUUCCCAUCCCACAGUUUAAUUAGAUCCUAAUCAUGCAAUGUGUGAGGAUUGAUCUAAUGCAAGAAAAACUGGGUUGUAUAAAAGGUAUGAUCAAAGUGUUACUUGCCUUGCUGAUGAUCCGCGAAACCUAGCGAUUCGAAGAAACAGGCGGCACACUCCGGGUACUCUAUCGCAGACAAACAAACAAGCAUACAAUAAGUACUCAUCUAAUGCACAGGUAAAACUCAAAUAAGAGAUUUAACCAGAAGGUUCAACUUAAGAACUCCGGUUGGAAAAAGAAAUCAAUCGAACGAAGCAAAGAAAGUCAAACGGCGAAAGAAAACAACUUUGUUCUAGUAAUCUGAAUCUAAUUCAAAUUUUACAGUAGCAAAAACUUGUUUGAGUUGAUUAUUCGAAUAGAGGGUUUCGAGACGAAACUCGAGGCGCUUGAAUCGCCUGAUUCCGAUAAACGAGCGAAAAGAUAAACUGAAAUGAAAAUCAGAUCAGGAAUCGCGAUCAGAAAAAUCGCGGAUUUAAUCCGACGAAAAAGGAAAACGACGAACGGAUUUUUUUUAAAUGGCACGGAAAACGAGGCGGCGGCGAACCUCGGGCGGCGCGCGGCUCCGGCGGGGCGGCGGCGGCAGCUGGGCUGGGGCGCUAGGGUUAUGGGGCUGGGGCGGCUGGGCUCUCGGGCCCCGGGGCGGCGCCUUAUAAAGGCCUCGGCCAGGCGGAGUCCUGGCCGAGUACGGCCCAAAGACGGUUCCUUUUUUUUAUGCUCGGAAGAAAAAUAAAAAGAAAUACUAAACGGACUCCAAAAAUCCUGAAAUAAAUUUUACCGGGCUUCUAGAAUCAAGCCCGACAAAGUGAACAUUUAUUUGGGACCUAAAUGCAAUUUUGAAAAAUGCGCAUUUUUCCUAAAUUCAAAUAAAAAUAUCAAAAAAACUCCGAAAUUUUUUAUUAGACCUUCAAUAUUUCUAUAUUUUGGGAAAGUCAUUUUAGUCCCUCUCGCAUAUUUUUGUAAUAGAAAUAAUUGAUGAUAAAAUAAAUAAAAUCAAAUGAUCCUAUGCUCAAAAUUUGAGAAAACUCAAAUGUGAGAAUAACGAAAUCCCCAACUCUCUCCGUGGGUCCUUGAGUUGCUUAGAAUUUUCUAGGAUCAAAACCCAAAAGCAAAUAAAAUAUGAUAUGCAUGAUGAUCUAAUGUAUAACAUUCCAAAUUGGAAUUUUGGGAUGUUACAGUUACCAAAGAUUGGUUUGAUGAAAACCACAAGGGAGCGAAAACCAUGAAAAUAGAUAGGUGGAGGGUGUAAGGUUGGACAAAGGGAUGGUGAGGAGAAAAUUAAGUGAAAGAUAUAACCUUAGAUUCUUUUCAAGUAGUGGAGAUUUUUCAGCCCUUUCUUAAAUUGGUAAAUAAGUAUGUGCCCAUGAUUAAUCUACUUUAUUGGGUUACCAAAUGAUUGGAUUGAUCUAGUUUAUUGGGUUACCAAAGAUUGGUUGGAUGAAACAUGAAAAAGAGGAAAAAAUCGAUGGAGGGUGGAAGGUUGGAGGAGGGAUGGUUGGGGAGAAAACUGAGUGAAAAUGGAUCCUUAGGUUCUUUUUAAGCAGUGGAGAUAGAGAUAAACAACUUUUUGUUACAAAAGCAUGGAGUGCACAAUAAAUAUAAAAAGGGGGACAUAUGUGGUUGUGAAAAAAGCAACAUACUAAGUGAUGACUCACAAGUAUAGGGGAUCGUGAUAUUCUUCGAGGGAAGUAUUCCCAAAUUUAUUGAUUAGUAGGGGAUUCAAAGAAUAUUUGUAAGCUUUAGUAGUUGAGUUGCCAAUUCCUGGAAAGAUAACUUUCUUACAACGAUUUAUUAGUACUCCCUCUGUUCCUAAAUAUUUGUCUUUCUAGAGAUUUCAACAACUGACUACAUACAGAUUAAAAUGAGUUUACCUACACUCUAAAAUAUGUCCAUAUACAUCCGUAUGUGGUAGUCUAUUUGAAAUCUCUAAAAAGACAAAUAUUUAGGAACGGAGGGAGUAGUAUAGCAAUAUGAUAGUAAUAGUGAUACUAACAGCAACAGUAAUAGUAACAAGUUUGCAAAGCAGUAACAAAGUGCAGUAGUAGUGAUUUUAGCGAAAACAAUAAUAGCAAAAGCAUAGUCAUGAAGUAACACUAAAAAAAUACACUUUCGUGAUGAUACGUGUUUGUCACGGUAGGUCACGUUUUCUGUCAUGCAUGUACAUCCAUGACAAAUUUAUGACAGAAUCAAGAUAGUCAUACCUGAGCUGUCGUAGAAGUGUUCCAUGACAUUACCAAAAUUAUCAUCACGGAAGUGUCCACUUCCAUGACGGUAAAUCGCGCAUCACAGAAGUGCUUUCGUCAAGGGUGACCGACACGUGGCAUCCACCAUAACAGAACAUCGAUAACCCGUUAACAACCCAGACCAAUGGGAUUUUCCAUGUGUAAAAUCAUCAUUGGCUGGAGGAAACACCUGUCGGCUCACCGUUGGGACAGAUGUCAUUCACUUAUUGGACCCAAAGCGCCUAUGAUACUCGACAUGUGGCACGGCCCAACAGAGGCCGAUUCCUGUGAAAAGGCCGGUCCGCUUGACUUGGUCAAAAGGUUGAGGGCCGGCCCACGGCAAGCCCGUUAAUGGCCUAUUCGCAUAUAGCCCAUUUACAUCCCGCUAACCCAGGGCCCGUUUACGGCCUAUCCGAAUUAGGCCCAGUAGCAUCAUAUGGGCUGUCCAAUAUAAUUCCGGCCCGUUUUAACUUCCGGCCCAUGUAUGGCCCAUGAUGUCUUUUGGCCCAUAUGAGGCCCUUAGUAACCCUCGGCCCAUUAAUGGUCCAUGGUAAAACUGGCCUGUAAUGAACAGUGUAUCACUUUAUACCCAUUAACGACCCAUUAUUCCGUUGGGCCAUUUCCAGUCCAUGUUGUCUUUCGGCCUUCUCAGGGCCCAUUUAUUCUUGGGCUCAUUUCCGGCAUUCGUUUACUUUCGGCCCGUUACUGUCAUUUUCUGCUUGUGGGCCAAAUACAGCCCGUGGUUAUAGUUGGUCUGUUUGUGGCCCGUUAAUACGUUGGGCCAUUUUCAUAGCGUCAUUAAAUACAGCCUAUUAACGACGGCCCGUUAUGGUCGGCCCAUGAACAAAUGACUUCAACUCUAGCCCAUUUACGACCAUAAUGUGGUCUGUUAUUGGCCCAUGUUUGGCCAACCGAUCAUACGGCCCAUAGAAGGCCCAUUGAUGAUACGGCUCGUAGAAGGCCUAUUGUGUAUACGCCCUGUAGAAGGCCCAUUGUUCCUACGGCCCGUAGGAGGCCCAUGUUAACUACAGUAAAUAUGUAGCCCAUUGUUAAUGUGGCCUAGUUUUUAAAAAAUAGGUUAUUGCAGCCACUAGCAAACCGCGGAAAAGAACUGCACUGACUACAAGAAAACAAAUAAACAAGACAACGGAAAUAAAUAAGCAAGCAACUUACGCUAGGCUAUCAUGGCUAUUACACAUAUUACAUCCACUGGGCAUCAAAGUUCACCACAAGUGCAAAUAUAGGGAACAAAGCAGCAUAUAAACGCCGCAAAAAAACAAGUCCAGAACUGAAACCACUUCAGAAGAGCUCAAGAAACAAUAUCAUGGGCACCCAUAAUGCUGGCAAGAUGCUUAGCAAGCUUAUUAACUUUCUCUUGUUUGGUGCUUAAAUCCUCCAGCACUUGCUAUUGCACCAGAAAGUAAAUCUGAAUUCUGCAGGGACUUCCUCAGUCCUUCGGCUUCCUGUCGCAUAACAUCUGAUCGAUGUCUUUUAACUUGAAGUUGAGACUCAAGAAGCCGAACUGAUUCAGGCAGCGAGUUCGAAGAGCUGGUGCCAGCAGUAGUAGCCAGUAACUCGAACACUACAUCAAGACAGGACUUUGGGGUUGUCUCAGUGUCUUCAAUAUAGUUUUUAUCAACUUUCUUGGAGAACCACGGGGAUGUCUCACUAUCUUGAACCUGAUUUGCAUUAAUUCCUUUACCAUUGCAUAACGGGGGUACUCUUCUCCAAUAUUUUAUCCGCGUUCUAAAGGAGAAACACACAAACACAUCACAGGUUUACAAUGAAGUAUAUGAAACUCAUUUUGGUAAACCAGUUCAGUAGUAAGGUGGACAGGAUAACAUCAUGAAACAAACAUAUAUCUAUGUAAUAUGAUCACUGUAUGGUCUAUAUCAUUCUAGUUUAUGUUGCCAAAUCAAGAUAGAUAUAGUUCGAAUCAUAUCUAUUUAAGACAAAGUAGCAUAGAAAGAAUAUAAGUGUGGGAAACUACACAGCAAUAACAACACUUGUAAUGUGCAUUGCGUGAGAACAUAACUGUUUAUUCAAUUGAAACUGAAAUCAACAUAGAGCAAGUUACAACAGCAAACACGUUAAAGAAACAGGUUUAAAACAUACCUGUUGCGCCAUUGGAGUUUCAAUUGCAUCCUUCAAAUUUGAAAUUAGUUGGUAUGAGUAGAUACAGUGAUGCAAGAGCAAAGUAGUAUGAACCAUAGCUAGGGAACCUGACCUGAGAACAAUUCUUCUUCUACUUUAAGCGUUGACUUGGGGUUCGGAGUUGUGGUCCUCGUGCUUUGGGCACUACAGUUGCCUUACUAACUACUCAUGUUUGGGUGCUCUGUGGUGGAGACGGUGCUGUGUCAAUGGGAACUGGGUUACUAUCUCCUGGGGUUGGGGUUAGAAGGGGUGUAGCUCGUUCUCUUUCGAACUAGGUAGGGGUACAAUCUGCGUGAGUCUGGGUUAUGUGUGGUGGGGCUGGUUCUUGGGCAAGUACAAAUGUGGUUCUAUCGCCAUCAACAGGUAGCACGAUCUUUUCUAAAGACCGUGUUUUUUACUCCCACAGAUACUGCCAUCACCCCAUCCAAUUGAAAUGGCUGAUAAAGAAGAAAAGUAAUUGAAUGUACAGACAUUGUAAGAUAGACAGGUGCAAUGGAUACUAGGGAAGAAAACAGGGCAUGAAAUAAUUCAUAUUUAUGUUGUCUAACCAAACAGAAUAGCAAGACAUAAUUUCAAAUAUAUGAUGGCUAAUUAAACAGGAUAGCAUCACACAAUUUCGCAUGUAUGAUGGCUAACUAAACAGGAUAGAAUGACAUACUUCAAAAUAUGAUGACCAUGUAAAUAGGAUGACAUGAUAUAACUAUACGAUGUGUCUAUUAAAGUGGUUGGCAUGCCAUAAAUCACAAACAUGCCGUCGAUGGAAACAUGAUGGCAUGAUAUAAUUCAUGGAUAGAAUGACAUAAUUCAAAAUAUGAUGACUAUGUGAACAGGAUGAGAUGAUAUAACUAUAUUAUGUCUUUAGAAAAUGGGUUGGCAUGCCAUAAUUCAGAUACAUGCUGUCUAUGUAAACAUCAUUGCAUGAUAUAAUUCAAAUAUAUGAUUUAUAUACUAAGGAGUGAGCAGAGGGAAAUGGCAUAUAUGAUGUGUCAACUAAGGAGAUGGCAUUGAAUAUCGUGUAUAUGAUGUAAAAACUAAGCAUUGCAAUACAACAUAUGCAUGAUAUGAGUAAUAUAGCCCCGCCAAGUUUGAGCAUACACCUCAGGGGGAUAAUAGGACUGGUCAUCUGCCUCUGAAUCCUCCCGUGAAGAGCUAUCUAUAACCAGCAACAUAUCUACUUCACCAGGUAGCAUUCUCUGCUCUAAAGACCUUGUUUUCACUCCAGAUUUCUCCAUCACCAAUUCAAAUGGCUGAUGCACAGGAAGAGCAGUUGAAUAUACAAACAUUGUCAACAAAAGCAAUGAGAAAUACAAAAAAAGGAUGGCAUGAUAUAAUUCACACAUAUGACGCUUGGCUAAACAACAUGGCAUUGCAUAAUUCACAUAUAUAAUGCCUUGCAACAAGAUAGCAUUGCAUAAUUCACAUAUAUAAUGUCUUGCAAAAAUAUGGCAUGGCAUAAUUCACACAUAUGGUAACUAGACACUAAACAGGUGGCAUUCCCACAAAUCAUGUCUAAACUAACCAAAUGACAUAGCAAUGCAAGAUACCAUACACACGAUAUGAGCAACAUAACCCUGCCAAGUUAGAGCAUGCACCUCAAGAGGGGGGGGGGAUAGGACCGGUCAUUUUUCUCUGAAUCCUCCUCUGAGGAGCUAUUUGUAACUAGCAAGACAUGCGCUUCGUUGGAUAGCAUUGUCUUCUCUGAAGACCUUGUUUCCACACCAUAUUUUUCCAUGACCAUGCCGAAUGGCUAAUGCACAGGAAGAGUAAUUGGAUGUACUCAAAUUGUUGACAAAUUUAACACGUAAUAAAAAAUGAUGUCAUGAUAUAAUUCACAUAUAAGAUGACUGGCUAACAAGGGUGGCAUUGCAAAAUUCACAUAUAUGAUGCCUAGAUAAACAAGAUGGCAUUGCAUGAUUCCUAUAUACGAUCAAGAAACUAAACAGAUGGCAUUGACACAAAGCAUGUCUAAACUAAGCAGAUGACAUCUUUUAUGUAUACAGUAAGCAAUGCAAGGCACCAUAUGCAUGAUAUUACCAACAUCAGCAUGCCAAGUUAGAGCGAAGACCUCAUGGGGUAAAUAGGUGUGGUCUUCUACUUCUGAAUCCCCCUCAGAACAGUUAUCUUCCUCUUGAUUACGAUCCGAAAUGGGUGGAGGGGGGCUGCCUUUGCUCCCACCAUGGAGCGAUGUCUGCAUGAAAUGUUAUUGCCACGCAAGGCUCGUCUCUUUUUCUCUCCAUGUUCAGUUCCAUUGUGUACAAUAACUGACAUGCAUAGGAAUAAAAGAUAGUGAUUGUGGGAGUCCUGGAUUAGGGGGUCUCCGGACAGCCGGACUAUAUCCUUUGGCCGGACUGUUAGACUAUGAAGAUACAAGAUUGAAGACUUCGUCUCAUGUCCGGAUGGGAUUCUACUUGGCGUGGAAGGCAAGCUAGGCAAUACAGAUAUGUACAUCUCCUCCUUUGUAACCGACCUUGUGUAACCCUAGCCCUUUCCGGUGUCUAAAUAAACUGGAGGGUUUUAGACCGUAGGACAACAUACAAUCAUACCAUAGGCUAGCUUCUAGGGUUUAGCCUCUCCGAUCUCGUGGUCGAUCAACUCUUGUAAUACUCAUAUCAUUAAGAAUAAAUCAAGCAGGACGUAGGGUUUUACCUCCAUCAAGAGGGCCCGAACCUGGGUAAAACAUCGUGUCCCCUGCCUCCUGUUACCAUCGGCCUUAGACGCACAGUUCGGGACCCCCUACCUGAGAUCCGCCGGUUUUGACACCGACAUUGGUGCUUUCAUUGAGAGUUCCUCUGUGUCGUCGCCGUUAGGCUUGAUGACUCCUACGAUCAUCGAUAGCGAUGCAGUCUAGGGUGAGACUUUUCUCCCCGGACAGAUCUUUGUGUUCGGCGGCUUCGCACUGCGGGCCAACUCGCAUGGCCAUCUGGAGCAGAUCGAAAGUUACGCCCCUGGCCACCAGGUCAGGUUUGUAAGCUUAAACUACACGUCCGACAUCCGUGGAGACUGGAUCUUCGACGGAUUCGAGCCCCUAGCUUGUGUGCCGCGCAGUCAUGAUGAGUAUGAUUUAGCUCUAUCAUCGGACCGUAUUCAGGAGAUCGCACCGGCAGCCGCCCCGAGCCUCAAUUCGGAGCUAGUCGCGCUAUCCAUGGACGGGUGGAUGGACCACGUCAUGGAGGCCGUACCCUCAGGGGUGAUCGAGCCAAAUAUCGACCUUACCCUUCAUGAGAGCCGUGUCGCCAAACUACCGGAUCCUUCUCCGGCCACGGACUCUGAACCGCCUGCGCCCGUGCCUAUCGAAUCCGAUUGGGCGCCGAUCAUGGAGUUUACCUCCGCGGAUAUUUUCCAGCACUCGCCCUUCGGCGACAUACUGAACUCAUUAAGGUCUCUCUCCUUGUCAGGAGAAUCCUGGCCGAACUAUGUCCGGCAGGAUUAGGAUGCGGAUGACGAAGAAAUUCGCCGCCCACCCACCACCCACUUAGUAGCCACUGUCGAUGACCUAACCGACACGCUCGACUUCGACUCCGAAGACUUCGACGGUAUGGACGACGAUGCAGGAGUCAAAGAGGAACCACUGCUCAUAGGGCACUGGACGCCCACUUCAUCACAUGACGUAUACAUGGUGGACACACCCAAAGAAAAUAAUGACAAGGAACGGAAGGACGCAGCGACGAGUGGUUCCCUCGAGCAGCAGUCAAAGCGGCGGCGUAAAUGUCGCCCCAAAUCCUGCCCCGGCAGAAAUAACGAUCACAUAGACCCUGCAUUAGAGUAGGGUGAACAAUUGCCCGACCACGGUAACACGGAAAAUCAAGCCGAACAACCCAACCCCGUCGAAGAUAACAGUCCGGACGACAUCACACCAGACAUGCGCCAGGAGCAACGUAAUGCCCACCAAAGGCUUGUUGCCACGGCGAGGAGUCUGAAAAAAUAGAAGCAAAGGCUCAAGGAUGCACAAGACACACUCAAAAUAAAAUGGAAUGAAGUACUCAACACAGCAGCGAAGUACGACAGUAAUCGCCACACCAAGAGCUACCUGAAGCGGAAGUUGCUACCUGAAUUCGAUGAGGAGGCCUUAGAUCCCCUGCAACCAAAAAUUAAAAUGGCCAUCCGGCCGGAUAGACGACCUCACGGUCAACAUAAAGCGGCGAACAACGCCACACAUAAGGCAAUGCACGACCCACGCGAGGACUCGCAUCAAAAGGACGGCGCAACGAGAUCCAUUUAUGGACCACGCAAGCGCGCUCCAGCAUACGAUGCAAUACAACAAACAUCCGAACACCACGAUACACCCAGAUACAGGGGUGCCGCACACCCCCUAUGUUUCACCGAUGAGGUGCUGGACCAUGAAUUUCCAGAGAGAUUCAAACCCGUAAACAUAGAGGCAUACGACGGAACAACCAACCCUGGGGUCUGGAUUGAGGACUAUAUCCUCCAUAUCCAUAUGGCUCGAGGGGAUGAUCUCCACGCGAUCAAGUACUUACGCCUCAAGCUCAAAGGGCCAGCUCGGCACUGGCUUAAAAGCCUCCCCGAAAGCUCCAUUGGAAGCUGGGAAGAGCUCGAAGUACCAUCUCUGUAGCGACCAGACCCGAAUGGAUCAAGUCUACUGUGCUCCGGUGUCAUCCCUGGAUCAGUAAUGCUGACACCACACAGUACAUCGAAGGAUUUAUAGCAGAGUGGCAAUCACACACUUAUUACAUCGAUGUCUCCGAAGAGAACUUAUUACAACAAUAUGGCUUAAGGCCAUCUAAUAUCGAUAACAGUGGAAGACUUGGAAGAUAAAAGGGUCCAUCAACUCCAACGGCAUCACUGAAUAUAGAACCACGACCUAAAAGCACCUUAAUCGUCAUCUGAAAAGUCUGCAACAUUAAUGUUGCAGCCCGAAACGGGUCAGCACAUGGAAUAUGCUGGCAAUGUAACACAUAGAGAAUGAUGGAAUGAAACAGCUAUACUAUAUGCAUAUUUGGCUGGUGGAAAGCUCUAUGGUUACAGUUUUGCGUAAAGCCAGUUUCUCCCUACUGCAAAGGAAUAAAUUUACUAACUAUCAUGGUGGUUGUUAAACAUUGAGAAUGGUUGACAGCAUUCUCAAUCCCAAUUAAAAGUAAUCAUUAAUAACCCAACAAUAUUAAUUUAGAAGUAACAUGUUGAGAUUCACAUGAUAUUCAAGUACUAGAUACUCAAGUUGUCCAUAACCGGGGACACCGCUAAUCAUGAUUAGUUUAUUACAGUCUGCAGAGGUUUGCGCACUUUUCCCCACAAGACUCGAUCGCCUCCGUUGGAUUUCUCGCACUACUGGUGUUUGAGAAAUGGAUGACCGAGACAUAGUCUUUCAGAAGCGCUAGCACCUUACGAUGGAUAGACCGGUACACCUACUUUCCCCUACAUCUGCUAGUCUACCCUGUAAGAGUUCGCACGACUUAGUCAACUAUGCCAGAGCCCAUAUUGGCUUGUGGCUGCACACGUAAGUAUUUAGCAUGAAAGAUCUUAUGAUCCCUUUGAGCCUGGGUGGCGGUCCAAAAUAAAACAGGCAAGUCCAGAUAGACAUCACGUGCCUCAAUCCACCCAGAUGUGUGUUUAAGUUGCCACAUUAGAUAAACCCUUAAAAUUAUCACACUCACAUCUGUCAUGGAUAUCACUCACCCAAUCCACGUCUACUAGCAUAGCAUGGCAUAAUAAGCAAACGUAGAAGUAACUCCCAAAGGUUUCAUAAUAAACAGGUAAUAGGUACUACCUCAUCUACUUCCCAUCCCACAAUUUAAUUAGAUCCUAAUCAUGCAAUGUGUGAGGAUGGAUCUAAUGCAAUAAAACUGGGUUGUAGAAAAGGUAUGAUCAAAGUGUUACUUGCCUUGCUGAUGAUCCGCGAGUCCUAGAGAUUCGAAGUAACAGGCGGCGCAAUCCGGGUAAUCUAUCGCAGACAAACAACAAGCAUACAAAAGUACUCAUCUAAUGCAUAGGUAAAACUCGAACAAGAGAUCGAACCAGAUAGUUCAACUUAAGAACUCCGGUUGCAAAGAGAGAAAGAACCGAACAAAGAAACCGAAAACAAACGGCGGAAAACAACUCGGUUCUAGCAAGUUGAAACUAGGUCAAAUUUUACCAUAGCAAAAACUUGUUUAAGUUGAUUAGUCGGAACGGCGGUUUCGAAACGAAACUCCAGGCGCUUGAAUUACCUGAUUCCGAUAAACGAGCGAGAAGAUAGACUAGAACGAAGAUCGGAUCUGAGAUCGCGAUCGCGGAAUAAAUCCGACAAAAAGAAAAAGAAGAACGGUUAAACGAACGGACGUUCGUUAACCUAGAAUAAUCCGGUGAUCACGCUCGUUAAGACGAACAGUCCGGCAAACGGUCUCUAGGCAACUAAAUCAGAAAAGAAAACGAAUCUGAUCUAGGGUUUCGGAAGAAAACCGAACGAAAAACUGAUCUAGAAAACCGGAACGGUUUAGAGAAGAACCGGAAAGAAAACGAAUCAGACGAGAAGAAAAGAAUCGGAACGGUUUAUAAGAAAAGCCGAACCGAGGGGAUAGAAGAGAUGCGGCGCGGCUACCUCGGCGAGGUUCCGGCGAGGGGCUCCGGCGGCGGCGAGCAAGGGCGGCGGCGGNNNNNNNNNNNNNNNNNNNNNNNNNNNNNNNNNNNNNNNNNNNNNNNNNNNNNNNNNNNNNNNNNNNNNNNNNNNNNNNNNNNNNNNNNNNNNNNNNNNNNNNNNNNNNNNNNNNNNNNNNNNNNNNNNNNNNNNNNNNNNNNNNNNNNNNNNNNNNNNNNNNNNNNNNNNNNNNNNNNNNNNNNNNNNNNNNNNNNNNNNNNNNNNNNNNNNNNNNNNNNNNNNNNNNNNNNNNNNNNNNNNNNNNNNNNNNNNNNNNNNNNNNNNNNNNNNNNNNNNNNNNNNNNNNNNNNNNNNNNNNNNNNNNNNNNNNNNNNNNNNNNNNNNNNNNNNNNNNNNNNNNNNNNNNNNNNNNNNNNNNNNNNNNNNNNNNNNNNNNNNNNNNNNNNNNNNNNNNNNNNNNNNNNNNNNNNNNNNNNNNNNNNNNNNNNNNNNNNNNNNNNNNNNNNNNNNNNNNNNNNNNNNGGUGAGGGGGAGGGUUUGCUUGGGGGAGGGGGCAAGAAAUAAGAGAAGGAGAAGGAAAGAGGAAACGGAGUCCAAGAAGGACUCUAGGGCGGCGGCGGCCUUGGGCGCCUGCGCGGCUGCGCGCGCGCGAUGGGGAGGAGCCGGCCUGGCCGGCGGCUUGGGCCUUGGCCCAGGCGCUGCGGGAUUUUUUUAAACGGUUACGCGCGUAGAAAAACAAAAGAAAAGAGAACUAAACGAACUCCAAAACUUCUAAAGUAAAUUUUCCCCGACUCCUAAAAAUGAGUCGAACAAAAUGAACUUUUCUCCGGGCCUAAAAUGCAAAUUUUGAAAACGCUCAUUUUCCCUAUCCAAAUAAAAGGCAAAUGAAACUCCGACAAAAACCAAUGAUGCUCUUUUCGAAAUUUGAGAAAAACACAAAUAUGAAAAUAACGAAAUCUCCAACUCUCUCCGAGGGUCCUUGAGUUGCGUGAAAUUUGUAGGAUCGACCAAAAUGCAAGAAAAUAUGAUAUGCAAGAUGAUCUAAUGUAUAACAUUCCAAAUUGAAAAUUUGGGAUGUUACAAACCUAACCCCCUUAAGAUGAAUCUCGCCCUCGAGAUUCGGGUUGGCUAGAAAAUAGGUGAGGGUGGUCCUUGAGCAAAUCUUCUUCUCUCUCCAAGGUGGCUUCAUCCUCUGAGUGGUGGUUCCACUGAACUUUGCAAAACUUGAUAACCUUGCUGCGGGUAACUCUGCUGGCAUAAUCGAGAAUCUUGACUGGUUUCUCUUCAUACGUGAAGUCGUCCUUCAAGUGAAUCGCUUCUAGCGGCACUGUAUCUCUUAACGGUACCUUCAACUUUGUCCCAUGACAACGGUGUCCUUCACCUCCUUCCGUAUAAAGCUUCGAAAGGUGCCAUCUUCAAACUGGUUUGGUAACUGUUGUUAUAAGAAAACUCCGCAUACGGCAAGUUAUCAUCCCAACUAGAUCCAUAAUCUAGUGCACAAGCUCUCAGCAUAUCUUCCAAAAUCUGAUUGACCCUCUCGGUCUAUCCAUCUGUCUGCGGAUGAAAAGCGGUGCUGAACUCUAGCCUAGUUCCCAAAGUUUCAUGCAACUGAUUCCAAAACUUUGAGGUAAAUUGGGUUCCUCUGUCUGAUACAAUACUCCUUGGAACUCCAUGCAAACAAAUGAUCCUAGUCAUGUAUAUCUUUGCCAACUUAGCACUGGUGUAAGUGGUCUUAGCUGGAAUGAAAUAUGCUACCUUCGUCAAACGAUCAACUACUACCCAUAUCGAGUCAUAUCCUGCUUUCGUCCUGGGUAGUCCUGUGAUAAAAUCCAUGCCUAUCUUAUCCCACUUCCAUUCGGGUAUCGGCAAUGGUUGCAACAAUCCGGCUGGCUUCUGAUGUUCUGCCUUUACUCUAUGACAUACGUCACAAACUGCUACAUAUGCUGCAAUAUCCUUCUUCAUUCCGGUCCACCAGAAUGUUUCCUUUAAAUCCAAAUACAUCUUGGUAUUUCCUGGGUGAAUCGAAUAUGGUGAAUCAUGUGCCUCUUGUAGAAUCAACUUCCUGAUCUCCGGGUCAUUUGGCACAUAAACACGGUCCUCAAACCAUAGGGUAUCGUGCUCAUCCUUACGAAAUCCCUUUUGCUUUUCCUUUGCUCAGUUUCUCCUUUAUGGAAGCAAUCUCCUUGUCAGAUUUCUGAGCUUCUCUGAUUUUAUCCAUCAAUGUUGACUGAAUCUCCAAUGCUGCUACAUAGCCUUUUGGAACUAGUUCUAAACUUAGUUCAUGAAGGUUUUUUGCUAACUCCUUGGGUAUUCCUCCUGUCAUUACCAUAUUCACAUGGCUCUUACGGCUCAAUGCGUCAGCUACAACAUUAGCUUUUCCGGGAUGGUAAUGCAAUCUCAUAUCAUAAUCCUUGAUGAGCUCCAACCAUCUCCUUUGUCUGAGGUUCAACUCCUUCUGAGUGAAAAUGUACUUCAAACUCUUGUGAUCCGUGUACACUUCACAAUGAUUUCCAAUGAGGAAAUGUCUCCAUGUCUUCAAUGCAUGCACUACGGCUGCUAACUCUAAAUCAUGUGUGGCAUAAUUCAACUCAUGAGGCUUCAGUUGUCGUGAAGCAUACGAAACAACUCUUCCUUCCUGCAUAUGCACUGCUCCAAGUCCUCGACGUGAAGCGUCGCAAUACACCUCAUAAUCCUUGGUCUGAUCUGACAAAAUCAACACUGGUGAGGUAACCAAUCGUUCCUUCAACUCCUAGAAACUAGCCUCACACUCCUCGGUCCAUUUGAACUUAGUAUCCUUCUUCAACAACUCCGUCAUAGGCUUCGCAAUCUUUGAAAAUUUAUCAAUGAAUCUUCGGUAGUAUCCUGCGAGUCCAAGAAAACUCCGGAUCUCUCCAACUAUCGUUGGUGCCUCCCAUUCGGUUACGGUCUCAACCUUGGUGGGGUCAACUGCUAUCCCUUCUCCGGAUAUAACAUGUCCAAGAAAUCCUACUUCCUUCAACCAAAACUCACAUUUGCUAAAUUUGGCAUUUAACUGAUGUUCCCUUAGUUUCUCCAAAACCAAAUGCAAAUGUUCCUUAUGCUCCUCUUCAUUCUUCGAAUAAACCAGGAUAUCAUCAAUGAACACUACGACGAACUUAUCCAAAAACUCCAUAAACACUUUGUUCAUCAGGUUCAUAAAAUAGGCAGGUGCGUUAGUCAAUCCAAAUGACAUAACGGUAUACUCAUACAGUCCAUAUCUUGUGGUGAAUGUUGUCUUGGGAAUAUCCGGUUCUCGAAUCUUCAAUUGGUGGUACCCUGAUCGCAAAUCAAUCUUGGAAAACACUUUAGCUCCUUGCAAAUGAUCAAACAGAUCAUUAAUCAUUGGCAGUGGGUACUUGUUCUUGAUGGUUACUUCAUUCAAUCCACGGUAAUCAACAACCAUCCGUAAUGAUCCAUCCUUCUUCUCCACUAGAAGUACGGGUGAUCCCCAAGGCGAAGAACUUGGGCUUAUGUAACCUUUCUCCAAUAACUCCUUAAUCUGAUUCUUAAUUUGUACCAAAUCCUUUGCAGGCAUCCGGUACGGUCUCUUUGAUAUUGGGCCUGUACCUGGCAAUAACUCAAUCAAAAACUCAAUGUCUCUAUCUGGUGGCAUGCCUGGCAAUUCUUCGGGAAAUACAUCAGGAAAAUCCUUUACCACUGGUACUUCCUCCUGCACGACUCCUGUCAGGCAAUUCACUUGUGUCCUAUUUGGCACAUGCCGGGAUACAUACUUGAUCCUUCUUCCUUCUAGUGUUGUAAGCAAAAUUGUCUUACUAGCACAAUCGAUGUUUCCUCCAUACGUCGACAACCAAUCCAUACCGAGGAUUACAUCCAGUCCUUGGGAUUCCAGAAUAAUUAAAUCUGUUGGGAAAACAUGCCUUCCUAUGCUUAAUGGCACUUGAAAGCAUCCGUGACUGGCCAUGUAUUCUGCUCCUGGCGAGCUUACUAGCAUAGGUGUUUGAAGAAUCCUAGUGGGCAGGCUAUAUUUUUCCACAAAUCCCCUUGAUAUAUAUGAAUGUGAUGCACCAGUAUCGAAAAGAACGAGUGCGGUAAAUGACUUAACCAAAAACUUACUGAUUACUGCAUCAGGCUGAUCUUCAACCUCCUCCACGCUAACGUGGUUCACCUGUCCCCUAUUGAAAGGGUUCGGCUUCUUCCCUGAGCUUCCAUUGCCAUUUCCAUUCUGGCCUUCAGGACAUUCAUUGGCAUAAUGUCCGGUCUUGGAACACUUGAAACGGGUGACUUGGCUCAGGUCUCUCUUGGAUGGGGUUGAUGGGGUGGUACGGUUCUGGCCGUUGCUUCCUCCAUUCCCAUUACCAUUCUUGUGGCCAUUGUGGUUGUGCGAACUACCUCCUCCAUGGGUAUGCUGAAACUGAAAUCCCGAUUUAGGGGUAAAACGGGGCUUCUGCUGGGCUCCAGAGUUAUACUUCACCUGUCCAUACUUCCUCUUGUGGUUCUCAAUCUACUGUUGCUUCCCUUCAAUCAUGAUGGCACGAUCUAGCAACUCUUGGUAGUUGUUGAAACUUGGUACCAUCAACUGCAUGCUUAACUCAUCAUUCAAUCCUUCCAGGAACUUCUCCUGCUUAGUUGCAUCUGUAGCAACGUCAUCUGGGGCAUAACGUGCUAACUUGCUGAAGUCGUCAACAUACUGGCCAACUGUCCUUCCUCCUUGGCGUAAGUUGCGAAACUCACGCUUCUUCAUGGCCAUAGCUCCUGCUGAAACAUGUGUAGUGCGGAAAGCUUGCUGAAACUGAUCCCAUGUGACAGUGUCAACUGGGAAGGUGGCUGUGAAAUUCUCCCACCAUGCUGCCGCGGGUCCUUCUAACUGAUGUGCGGCAAACUUCACUUUCUCACCAUCUGUGCAUGCUGCAGUGGUCAACUCCCUUCCUAUCUUGCGGAGCCAAUCGUCUGCUACUAUUGGCUCGAUGCUACUAGAAAAUACCGGAGGAUUUAGCCUAAGGAAAUGGGCUAAGUGGUCAACAGGUGGUGGUGGUGGUGGUGGGUUGUUGUUGUUGUUCUGCUGAUUCUGGACUAACAUCUGCAUCAAUUGAUUCUGCUGCUGGAUCAACUGAGUGAGCUCCGGUGGAAAUCCAGUGUCACGUCUCGGAGGCAUCUGAGGGUUUAGAAAAGAAGAGAUAUAAGAAUAGAAUGAGGUCUAAAGAGAAAACACUACCCCAAUGCACAUGAGCAAAUUCACACAAAUUCACUUCAUUCAAUCAAACAAGGGCUUACAAUCGAUCUAGAACUAUCUCAAAAGUGCUCGAACUAUAGUGUAUACAUGGGGGGGGGGGAUACUACUAAUAUUUGGUGGUCAUCUAGAAAUUUGAACCGGUGGAAGACUCCAUGAUGUCCUCUCCAGCUUCGUCUUAAAAGUCGGGUUCACUUGGAUCCGAAUCGGUGUCGUCGAUGAUGAUGUAAUUGUCCGGACAUGCGACGUACAUGUCUUCCUUCCUGGAUGCUAACUCCCUCUUGAGUUCUUCAAUCUCCUGCUUAAGAUCGCAGUUGUGUCUUGCUAGAGCUACGAUCUCGUCCAUGUAGUCCUUGCGUGUAGCCUUCAGUUCUCCUUCUAGCUCGAUGAUCCUUGACUUCGCAUUCUUCAACUCUAUCAUAUCAUUGCACAUCUGGUUCUCGUGGCGUCGAAUGUGCUGGUUUAACUCCUGGAUGAAUCCUGCAGUGGAUCUAUCCUUUUUGGUGGUGACUAACUCCCAUUGUUCAUCUCGGCGUCCGCAAAUCUGGUAGAUAAUGUCCUUGAGGUCUUCUUGAUAAACUUCUCCAAUGCGUCCUAUGGUGAUAUGGGCUGCCAUGCUCCUUCCUAGACUCCAAGUUGGUGCAUUGAAAACACUAUCUAUGGGCCUUGUGAUUGGCGCGAAUGUCCUUCCUGGAACGUGAGCUUGAAUCUUCCAGCGCUCCUCUUCAGGCAAAGUGGCGUUGAAAGUUCCCGUGAAACUUGGUAAUCCAAUGUUUAGGUACUUGGUGACUUCCUUCAAGUGAAAUCCAAAAUGUGUGCCUUCAUCCGGUUGAGCGUACUUAAUCUUCGCGUCCUUCAUCCUAAAGAGUAGAAAAGAUGAGGAGUUAGAAAAGGAGGAGAGAAUAGUGAUCUACGGCUUUAACUUAGUGGUCGUGUCCUACAGUCAGCGUGUGCUCUGAUACCAUCUCUGUAGCGACCAGACCCGAAUGGAUCAAGUCUACUGUGCUCCGGUGUCAUCCCUGGAUCAGUAAUGCUGACACCACACAGUACAUCAAAGGAUUUAUAGCAGAGUGGCAAUCACACACUUAUUACAUCGAUGUCUCCGAAGAGAACUUAUUACAAUAAUAUGGCUUAAGGCCAUCUAAUAUCGAUAACAGCGGAAGACUUGGAAGAUAAAUGGGUCCAUCAACUCCAACGGCAUCACUGAGUAUAGAACCACGACCUAAGAGCACCUUAAUCAUCGUCUGAAAAGUCUGCAACAUUAACGUUGCAGCCCGAAAUGGGUCAGCACAUGGAAUAUGCUGGCAAUGUAACACAUAAAGAAUGAUGGAAUGAAAUAGCUAUACUAUAUGCAUAUUUGGCUGGUGGAUAGCUCUAUGGUUACAGUUUUGCGUAAAGCCAGUUUUUCCCUACUGCAAAGGAAUAAAUUUAUUUAACUAUCAUGGUGGUUGUUAAACAUUGAGAAUGGUUGACAGCAUUCUCAAUCCCAAUUAAAAGUAAUCAUUAACAACCCAACAAUAUUAAUUUAGAAGUAACAUGUUGAGAUUCACAUGAUAUUCAAGUACUAGAUACUCAAGUUGUCCAUAACCGGGGACCCCGCUAAUCAUGAUUAGUUUAUUACACUCUGCAGAGGUUUGCGCACUUUUCCCCACAAGACUCGAUCGCCUCCGUUGGAUUUCUCGCACUCCUGGUGUUUGAGAAAUGGAUGACCGAGACACAGUCUUUCAGAAGCGCUAGCACCUUACGAUGGAUAGACCGGUACACCUAGUUUCCCCUACAUCUGCUAGUCUACCCUAUAAGAGUUGGCACGACUUAGUCAACUAUGCCAGAGCCCAUAUUGGCUUGUGGCUGCACACGUAAGUAUUUAGCAUGAAAGAUCUUAUGAUCCCUUUGAGCCUGGGUGGCGGUCCAAAAUAAAACAGGCAAGUCCUGAUAGACAUCAGGUGCCUCAAUCCACCCAUAUGUGUGUUUAUGUUGCCACCUUAGAUAAACCCUUAAAAUUAUCACACUCACAUCUGUCAUGGAUAUCACUCACCCAAUCCACGUCUACUAGCAUAGCAUGGCAUAAUAAGCAAACGUAGAAGUAACUCCCAAAGGUUUCAUAAUAAACAGGUAAUAGGUACUACCUCAUCUACUUCCCAUCCCACAAUUUAAUUAGAUCCUAAUCAUGCAAUGUGUGAGGACGGAUCUAAUGCAAUAAAACUGGGUUGUAGAAAAGGUAUGAUCAAAGUGUUACUUGCCUUGCUGAUGAUCCGCGAGUCCUAGAGAUUCGAAGUAACAGGCGGCGCAAUCCGGGUAAUCUAUUGCAGACAAACAACAAGCAUACAAUAAGUACUCAUCUAAUGCACAUGUAAAACUCAAACAAGAGAUCGAACCAGAUAGUUCAACUUAAGAACUCCGGUUGCAAAGAGAGAAAGAACCGAACAAAGAAACCGAAAACAAACGGCGGAAAACAACUCGGUUCUAGCAAGUUGAAACUGGGUCAAAUUUUACAUAUAAAAAACUAGUUUAAGUUGAUUAUUCGGAACGGCGGUUUCGAAACGAAACUCCAGGCGCUUGAAUCACCUGAUUCCGAUAAACGAGCGAGAAGAUAGACUAGAACGAAGAUCGGAUCUGAGAUCGCGAUCGCGGAAUAAAUCCGAUGAAAAGAAAAAGAAGAACGGUUAAACGAACGGAUGUUCGUUAACCUAGAAAAAUCCGGUGAUCACGCUCGUUAAGACGAACGGUCCGGCGAACGGUCUCUAGGCAACUAAAUCGGAAAAGAAAACGAAUCCGAUCUAGGGUUUCGGAAGAAAACCGAACGAAAAAGCGAUCUAGAAAACUGGAACGGUUUAGAGAAGAACCGGAAAGAAAACGAAUCGGAAGAGAAGAAAAGAAUCGGAACGGUUUAUAAGAAAAACCGAACCGAGGGGAUAGAAGAGAUGCGACGCUGCUACCUCGGCGAGGUUCCAGCGAGGGGCUCCGGCGGCGGCGAGCAAGGGCGGCGGCGGGGCACUAGGGUGGCGGCGGCGGUGCACAAGGGCGGCGGCGGCGGUGACGCAGGGCGGUGGCGCCGCUAGGGUGGCGCGGCGCUAGGGCAAGGGCGGCGGUGGCUUGAGGCUUGAUGUGAUGUUUAGAGGGGGGUGAGUAUUUAUAUAGGUGAGGGGGAGGAUUUGCUUGGGGGAGGGGGCAAGAAAUAAGAGAAGGAGAAGGAAAGAGGAAACGGAGUCCAAGAAGGACUCUAGGGCGGUGGCGGCCUUGGGCGGCUGCGCGGCUGCGUGCGGGCGAUGGGGAGGAGCCGGCCUGGCCGGCGGCUUGGGCCUUGGCCCAGGCGCUGCAGGAUUUUUUUUAAACGGCUACACGCGCAGAAAAACAAAAGAAAAGAGAACUAAACGAACUCCAAAACUUCUAAAGUAAAUUUCCCCCGACUCCUAAAAAUGAGUCGAACAAAAUGAACUUUUCUCCGGGCCUAAAAUGGAAAUUUUGAAAACGCGCAUUUUUCCCUAUCCAAAUAAAAGGCAAAUGAAACUCCGACAAAAAUCAAUGAUCCUCUUUUCGAAAUUUGAGAAAAACACAAAUAUGAAAAUAACGAAAUCUCCAACUCUCUCCGAGGGUCCUUGAGUUGCGUGAAAUUUCUAGGAUCGACCAAAAUGCAAGAAAAUAUGAUAUGCAAGAUGAUCUAAUGUAUAACAUUCCAAAUUGAAAAUUUGGGAUGUUACAACGCCUUUCGGGCAAUUUUCAAGGGACAUAUGUCCGACCACCGGAUGCAGACGAUCUAAGUCAUAUAACUCAACAGCCCGGAGAGUCAACCCGAAAGCUUUGGAACAGGUUUCUUACUAAAAAGAACAAAAUAGUCGAUUGUCCAGAUGCUGAGGCCUUGGCAGCCUUUAAGCACAGCGUCCGAGAUGAAUGGCUUGCCAGGCACCUCGGCCAAGAAAAGCCGAGAACAAUGGCAGCAUUAACAAGCCUCAUGACCUGCUUUUGCACGAGCGAGGACAGCUGGCUAGCCCGAUGCAGCACCAGCGACGCAAGUACAUCCGAAGUUAGAGAUGUAAACGGGAAAUCAUGACGCAGCAAAAAUAAUAAGCGCCGGAAUAAAGAAGACAACCUGAAGACCACGGCGGUAAAAGCCGGCUUCAGAAGCUCUCGGCCAGGUCAGCAAAAGCCACCCUCUAAAGGCGCCAGAUAUGAACUGUCCAGCUUAAACAAAAUUCUGGACCAAAUAUGGCAGAUCCAUAGCACCCCUGAUAAACCCGCAAAUUAUACCCACAGAGAAUGUUGGGUCUUCAAGUAGUCCGACAAGCUCAACACCGAACAUAAGGGGCAGGAUACACCAAGCGAAGACGAGGAUGAGCCUCGCAAGCAAAACACUCCCGGUCAAACAUGCCCAAGGGCCUAUCACCGCGGAGUUCUACCACUGGCCGUCUCAACCGAUCACCUUCGACCAUCAGGAUUACUCACCAAGUAUCUAGAACGCAGGGUGGGCUGCCUUGGUAUUAGAUCCAAUAAUUGACGGAUACCACUUCACACGAGUCCUGAUGGACGGCGGCAGCAGCUUAAACCUGAUAUAUCAGGACACAAUCCGCAAAAUGGGAUAGACCCAACGAAUAUUCGCCACAACAAUACUACCUUUAGAGGAGUAACGCCAGGCCCAGGGGCUCAUUGCACGGGAUCCCUGCUACUAGAGGUUAUAUUCGGCUUCCCCGAUAACUUCCGUAGCGAAAAUUUAACCUUCCACAUUGCUCCGUUCCAAGGUGGCUAUCAAGCACUACUUGGAUGCGAAGCUUUUGCUCACUUUAAUGCAAUACCGCAUUACGCUUCCCUCACACUUAAGAUGCCCGGUCCACAUGGCAUCAUUACAGUAAAUGGAAAUAUUGAGCGAUCCCUGCGCGCCAAAGAGAGUGCGACUGCCUUGGCAGCCGCACACUAAAAUGGCCUCACCAACUAAAGCAUUCGAUAGGUCGUCAAGACCACGGACACGGUUGGAUGAGUCCCAUGCAGCUAUAUGAAAUUCAUACAGGUUUAAUGGCUACACCCCUAUUACAAAUACAAGGGGCUCAACGCACGCAGACAAGUGGCAAUUUUUACUCAUCUUGAACUAUAGAUGGUUUCUUUAAACCCACCUUUUUGCACGACAACUUUUCACCGAAGUUCCUCUCUUUUACAAAUGACAAUCGUGCUACACCCGUCCAGGAUACGGCACAACAGGGACACAGGCGCAGACGUGCAGCAGGGACCCGUUCCAAGGAUUCUUUUUAGAUUAAGACCCUGCGUCAACCUUUUUUACUGUCUCUUGUUGAUACACAUCCCUCGGAUUCUCAGUACAAUUGAGAAGGAUGCUGACGUCUUGGCAUGUGGCCACGUCAGAACAAUGCACGUACCUGGACAUUAGGGGCUUCUUACAAAGGGCACUAUUCAGGCUCGGUUUACACCAUAGAGACCGAAUACCUUAGGGAGUGUUCGGCGUCGCGAGUUUGGCCUUAUAUGCAUGAGCUCCGAAUCAUGUCUUAGGUCAAAUGUUGGGUUUGCCCGACUCCUGUGUUUUGCUGCCUUAUGUUCCGCUCUAUCGGCUAAGGCGGCACUAGGAGAACUACUGCGAUUGUGCCAUGGUUCAUCCGUACGAGCACCUCAGUGGAGAAAGCCGAAAACUUACUGUCAUGAUAUAGAGCAAGACUGGUCAACCACUCGAUGACCUAUCGGAAUCCUAGAAUUCCUCCGGCUUAUCUAAGGGACGUUUCUCGGCCGAGCAUGUACGCACCCCGAACUCGGGUGAGUGCGGCGCCACCAGGGGCUAUAUAGUAGCCCCACUGUCAAACUGCUAUGGCUAAGUGAAAGUGCUAAAGCAUUAUAGUCCGGUUGCCUAGUUCGCUGCGCUCUCACUUCCUUAGUAGGACAAAGAGGUUGGAUUAAGUGUGAAUACGCGUCUUCUGCGAACACCCCCACAUUAUAUGCAUGGGGCCUGAAGCCGACGACUGCAAUCUUUCAGGUUAUACACAUGUAUACAUAAAACGGCCGCACAGGAGGCAUCACAAUACUUUUGGGCAAAAGUAUAAAUACAGCCUUGAUAAAAUUAAUAAAACAUUGUUUUUCCAAUGGGAAUACAUGUCACUCAAACAUAAUAUUCUUCGAGCACUGGGCCUCUAUCAAAUGAGCACCCUCAAGAACUUCUUCAAAAUAGUGCUCGGCAGCCACUCGGCCUAUGGCCGAACCAUGCGCCGCAAUAGUGGUAGCAUCCAUUUCCGCCCAGUAUGCUUUGACACGGGCAAAGGCCAUUCGCAAGCCUUCUAUGCACGCCGACCUCUUCAUCGCAUUGAUGUGCGGCUCCGCACCAAGGAACUGCUGCACUAAGCUGAAAUAGUUGUUCGGCUUCGGUUUUUCCGGCCACAGAUGAUCUACGACGGACCUCAUGGCAAGUCCGGACAAACUAUUGAGUUCGGCCCAUUCGGCAAGCUGAUAAGUUAGUGGAAGCGGAUGCUCUGGAACGUUAAACUAUGACCAGAAUAGCUUGUCCACUUCACGAUCUGUUUGAUCUUGGAAGUAUUCGGCCGCAUCAACAGCACUCACCGUCAAAUCAAGAUAUGCGUCUGCCGAACUCCACAGCCGAUCUAGAGGGGUGUACCGCGGAUCUUCGAACCUCCUCCGCAGCAAAAAGGGCUUCCCAGCCACAAUAUCACUGGCUUCACGCAGCUCCUCCUUCUUCGCUCUCAUGGCAGAGCGGGUGUCUUUGGUCGCCAUCGUGGCCUUUUCGAGGUCCGUCGCCUUCGUUCCAUUUUCUUCUUCAAGGACCUGACAACGGUCGGCAGUAUCUUUUAACUCUAUAGCCAUCUUGGCCAUUUUCUCUUUGCUCUUGCAAUGCGCGGCCUUCUCGGCUCUUAACUCUUCGGCCGCCUUCAAAGCAGCCACAUUACUACUCCUUGCUUCUUCUUUGGCUUGGGCAAGUUCCGCCCGAAGGGUCUCCACGGUGGCAGCUCCAUCUGCAGUCACAACAUAUUAAAGAUACUGGCAUCACGCUGCUCUUACUAUGUGACAUUCACCAGAAAAUAUCACUUACCCUGUGCCUCGUCAAGCCGCUUGUUAACAAGCUCGAUGUCGGCAUCCGCCGCAUCAAGUUGCCGCUUUUGUUCGGCAAACUCAUGAGUCCGGCUAGCCACCGGAGCUUCCACCACCUGCACAUAAAGGAGGUAUGGUUAUUACCUAGGACUACGAUCCUCUAUUUGCCACCGUUCUCGUUGACAACCAGAGUCUCAGGGACUACUAUCUACACCGGGCACACCUAAAAAUAUGCGGUACCAUCACAAAGGUAUAUCAUUUUACGUACCUCAAAGCCCGUUAGUAGACUCAUAAAGGUGUCAUGCAACCCGCUUUCGGCGGACAAAAUCCUUUCCAUCACUGUACCCAUUAACGUACGGUGUUCUUCCGAGAUGGUCGCUCGCUUCAGCCAAUCCCUCAGUGCGUCCGACCGCAUACCAAACGGCGCCGGACUCUUUUGUUUGCCCUCUUCAAGAGCCAGAUGUUGGGGACUUCGGGUGACUAUGGGAUUAUCUUCUGGCCUCACCGGAUCUGGAGAGGCCCUCCGUGACGAUACUUCAAGGUCACCCGCUUCUUGAGCGGGGGAUUCCGGGGGAGGCGUUUCGCUCUCCAUCAUCUCCGAAAGAAGGUCCCCUGAAGACGAGUUUUGUUGAGAAGGGCUAUGAUCCGAACUGCAAGAUAAAUGCUUUGGUUAUUUUCCUCGGAAGUAAGGUAGAAUAUCUCUACUAUUAAGUAAAUUUUGAUCACUUACGACCCGUUAGAGGGCUGAUCCCCGUAUGAACUUUGUGCGGAAAAAGCACCCUCCGAGACGGGAUCUUCUGGUGGAGUUUUCUUAUCCCGUUUGGAAACCUAGGUUUCCGGAUAAUCAGAGGUAGUCCUCUUCCUCCCCCGGGGUGAAGGAAUGUCACAUAGUUGGCGGUGGAGGCCUGCUUUGGCUCUCUUUAUUCCCCCCUUCAUCUUCCUUUGCGGGCACCAGGCAAGGUGCUGGCUCGAGCAUAUUUUCCAGCACCGGAUUGUCCAAGCCUACGGGAAGGGGAGCCUAACACCGGAUCAUCUUCGCCUUUGCUAUCCAGUCCUGGUCAAAGAGCGAUCCUUUAGAAUGAUGUCCUGAUAAAAGAAAGACAGUGUGUUCGGCUAGAGGGUUACUUACUUGGGCCGCGGUGCGGUUGCUUCUCAGGCCCACGUCCUCGGAGGUGUAGGGAUACUCUAUCUGGUGUCCGAAGAACGACUUGUACAUCUCCUCGUGCGUCAGGCCGAGGAAAUUCUGAAUAGCGCGCGGUCCUUCUGGGUUGAAUUCCCAUAAAUGUAGGGGCCGUCGUUUGCAAGGCUGGACUUGACGAACCAGCAUGACUUGCACUACCAUAAUGGAUGCGGCUGUGCAGUAUGGGCACGUCCUUGCCUGGACCCCAGCUCAGCCCCCUGCUGAUCCAUGACAUCCGUUGUGGUGGGGGGCCCGAGCGAAAGGCGGGGGGAGCUACCCACUUGGCACUUCUGGGAGCGGUGAUGUAGAACCACUCCCUUUGCCAUAAUCUGGACACCUCUGGAAAGGAACCUUUUGGCCACGGAGCUCCAGCAAUCUUGCUUAUUAAUGCACCUCCGCACGCUGCAUACGGCCCCUCGACCGUCUUCGGCUUCACGUCAAAGGUCUUGAGCCACAGGCCGAAGUGAGGGGUAAUGCGGAGGAAGGCCUCACAUAUGACAAUAAAUGCCGAGAUGUGGAGAAAGGAAUCCGGGGCUAGAUCAUGGAAAUCAAGCCCGUAAUAGAACAUCAAACCUCUUACGAAGGGAUCCAGUGUGAGGCCUGGUCCUCGGAGGAAGUGGGAGAUGAACACGACGUCUUCGUUGGGUUCGGGAGUCGGGACGACCUGCCCUCGAGUGGGCAGUCAAUGCGAGACUUCGGCGGUCAAGUAUCUUGCCUCCCUCAACUUCUUGAUAUCCUCUUCCGUGACGGAGGAGGGCAUCCACCGGCCCUGGAUGCUGGAUCCGGACAUGAUUGAAGGCCCGAAGCACCUGACCUAUGCUUUGGGUGUUAGAACUCGAGGCGGGGGAAGGAUUCGAUUGAGCAUGGAAGGAAAAAGUAAAAACCUUGACCCUUUAUAAUGAGGGUGAAUAUGAAGCGUCCUCCUCGUGGCCGUUUGGGACUUGCCUAAAAUCUAGGAUUCCUAGGCGCGGUUGGGUUACCCACGCCCGUAUUGAUGAGAAUCUCGUAAUAAGGGGGACACGAUCUCUCCUUUGACAAGACGUGUCAAAAAACUGCUUCGCGUUAUGUGCGGCGCUAGUUAAAGGAAACGGUUCGAAUAAUCACCGGGCCAUGGCAUAAUGUCAUGUUGCCAAAACAAGUCAGCAUAUUAGAUUUGUGGAAAUAUUAUUCUCUCUACGGUGGUAUGUGGAACUUAUUUUGCAGGGUUGGACACGAUCCUUGUAUUCAAAAUUUUCCAUGGUGUAUUCGAAGGAGGAACCCACCUUGCAAUGCCGAUGACAAUACUGCGCGCCGAACUCAUCGUCAUUGAAUCCUGGUUCAGGGGCUAAUGUGAGAGUCCUGGAUUAGGGGGUCUCCGAACAGACGGACUAUAUCCUUUGGCCGGACUAUUAGACUAUGAAGAUACAAGAUUGAAGACUUCGUCUCGUGUCCGGAUGGGACCCUACUUGGCGUGGAAGGCAAGCUAGGCAAUACGGAUAUGUACAUCUCCUCCUUUGCAACCGACCUUGUGUAACCCUAGCCCUUUCCGGUGUCUAUAUAAACUGGAGGGUUUUAGUCCGUAGGACAACAUACAAUCAUACCAUAGGCUAGCUUCUAGGGUUUAGCCUCUGCGAUCUCGUGGUAGAUCAACUCUUGUAAUACUCAUAUCAUCAAGAAUAAAUCAAGCAGGACGUAGGAUUUUACCUCCAUCAAGAGGGCCCGAACCUGGGUAAAACAUCGUGUUCCCUGCCUCCUAUUACCAUCGGCCUUAGACGCACAGUUCGGGACCCCCUACCCGAGAUUUGCCGGUUUUGACACCGACAGUGAUGUUAUGUAAGGAGUGCUUUAGUUAAAAAAUACAGAUAGAUAAUAGCUUUAGUUAAAAAAUACAGAUAAUGGCUCCUUUAAUGUUUGUUUGCACCCAACAUGAAACUCAUAGUAGACACCCGAGAUUAACCAGAUAGUGGACAGAUAGUACUGAUUGCUGCCCCAAUAUGUACCCCACAACCAUUUAAAAACUCAAGUUUCAGAAUAAGUUUGGACCUGAGUCGAAGUCUAAUAGGUGAACACGAUGAUAAAGUAGCAUGUCAUCUUAUUAAGCGAUGCAUAACGUAAGCAGACACAGAAGAGUGCGACCUCUCUUGCGGACCCAUGUAGUACUCAAGGUUAUCUGCUCAGUUGAUGAUGGUACUGCAGUUUUCGUGGCUGCCGGCGGCAGGGAAGAAGAUCUGAGGCGGCGAAAGACAGUCUGGAGAGCGGAUCCCUGCUGUGGUGAACCCUUCCGUUGUUGGAGCAGCUGAGCUGGGGUGGAACACAGCACCACAGGAGAAGGACAAACCACAAAAGGUUUUCUUUGACACAUAUCUAUAACAGAAGUAAUUGUUUAAGGGCUUGUUUGAAUUUGAGGAUUCUAACAAUGCAGGGAUAGGAAAUAGACAAGAAUAGGAUAGGAAUGCACGUGCAAAACAGAGAAUUUAAAAACGCAGGAUUUCUGCCAAUCUAGGUGUUUGGUUCACAAGAAUUGGUAGAUCACAGGAUGCAAAGAAGCAUGGUGAGAUCAAGUCAAAUCAAAAGAAGUGUACAACCUCUUUG